rnacentral:rRNA from 1 species
UACGUAGGGUGCAAGCGUUAUCCGGAAUUAUUGGGCGUAAAGAGCUCGUAGGCGGUUUGUCGCGUCUGCUGUGAAAACGCGAGGCUCAACCUCGCGCCUGCAGUGGGUACGGGCAGACUGGAGUGCGGUAGGGGAGAUUGGAAUUCCUGGUGUAGCGGUGAAAUGCGCAGAUAUCAGGAGGAACACCGGUGGCGAAGGCGGGUCUCUGGGCCGUAACUGACGCUGAGGAGCGAAAGCGUGGGGAGCGAACAGG